rnacentral:rRNA from 1 species
UACGUAGGAGGCAAGCGUUGUCCGGAAUCACUGGGCGUAAAGCGCGUGUAGGCGGAUCGCUAAGUCUGUGGUGAAAGCGCCUGGCUUAACCGGGCGAGGUCCAUGGAAACUAGCGGUCUGGAGGCCGGUAGAGGGGGGUGGAAUUCCGGGUGUAGUGGUGAAAUGCGUAGAGAUCCGGAGGAACACCAGUGGCGAAGGCGGCCCCCUGGGCCGCGCCUGACGCUGAGACGCGAAAGCGCGGGGAGCGAACGGG